GGACGAUGCCAAAAAGCAGGUCCACCCUAAAAAGGUGAAAAUUUGCAGUAUUGAAGACAUUCAAAGAAGCUGCUGAAGACACUGAGAGCAAUUCCAGUUAUUAGCAGAUGUGUGGUCCUGUCAGUGUAAAUCAACUCCACCAAAACACCUUCAUCUUGGACUUCUUGACAAAAGAUUGCCUUCAAUAAAGAAAGAGGAAAUAAGGAGGGAGAAGAAAAUCAAUCCCUCCUCUUUUCAUUGAAUGAUGUUUGCCUGAUCCUUUCCAGGAACACUCAAGAAGCAAGGAACCAGAUUUUCCUCAGUUAACUUUGAACCUGGAAUUUGUGUUACUGCUUUGGUUAUAUUCCUAAUAAGCCACUAGUGUACACUACAGGAACAAGUGGAAAUGAAGACAGAGAGGAUGAUUUCCUUAAGAAUGUUCUCCCAGGUGGGAUUUAUUAAGAGAAGAUGUAUUUCUUCUUCUGUGUCACGAAGACAUUUUUUCAUCUGUAUUCUCCAAGGAACUUCAUGGUGAAAUAGAUAAAAUGUCAGAAAUAAUUAAGAAAAAUGCAAGGGUAUCCAACAACCUAAAGUUAUACCUUUUGGUGAUGCCUAGUUUUCAUCUCUUCGGUCCCUUGAGAGAUACAAACACCAACUUAUCACAUCCUUUAGAUGAUGAUGUGUUAAAUUAAUGUGAAUGAACUCAUGGUACGGUAACUGGGGAGGAUGACAAAGAAAUUUUCUUAGAGAGCAGAGGUCGUGGAAUCUAAGAGGUCAAUAUACACUAUGCAAUAGAUACAGGAUGUAGAAUCUUUAAGUAUUGUUGUUUAAAAAGCCUCCUAAAUAUCUUUUAUCAUUUUCAUUUGUUUCAAUCAUACUUUUAUUUUAUCACUUUUUAACCUACUAUUUUCUUUAACCACAAAACUUGCCUUUUUAAACAUUUGUUUCAGUUUUUCCUUUUACCUUUCAGUCUUAGGUGUUUAGAGAACUAUGGUAGUAAAAACAACACACAGAGAAAGUGGACCACCUGUAUCAGAAAUGUGAUAACUCACAAUCAUGGGACUCUCCUUUGUAAAGACUUAGCAUAUAUUUUCUUACCUCAGUUGAAAUACUUUUAUUCUAGAUGUACAAACUAAUUUUAAUGAAAUGUUCCUAAGAAUCAGUUUUUUCUGAUUGGCCAUGAUAAAUAGAUAUGAAUCAUUUAUUAAUAUUCUAUUAAUUAUUUGAAACAUGUGUUAUUAAGAUUAGAUAAGAACUAGAUAAAAUAUCUGUAACUAUAUAUAUCUGCCUAUCUAAAACUUUUAAUUACUCAUUAGUAGUGGUAGUUAUAAUAAAACAGAUAAAAGCUUUAAAAUAUACCAGUAUCAAGCAAGUUGAGCAAGUUGCUCCCAGCAUAAAUUUAGCUCUGCUCUUCAAAGCCAUACAUUUUAAACAGGACAAGGUGAUCCUUGGACUAACUCUGUCUUUGGAUGGGCACACAUGUUUAAUUCUGGGAACAAUAUUAGGUAUUUUAUUUGCCUGCAGCUAUGAACCACAUUCUUCAAUAUUAGCUAUAUAAAUAAUAAAGGUCUCUAACUUGCCUUGGCUUUCUUUAAACCAAAUAAUAAAAGUCUCUAAUUGGCCUUGGCUUUCUGAUAAACUUGGAUAGGGAAGAAGUUAUUGGCUUUCAGGCUUCUAGAGAUACCAGCAAUGCUAAGGCCUUAUCUGGAUAACUAAAAAUCCCAAUUAAUGGAAUCUAAAAUAUCAAUAUUUUAAUAUAUCUAAUACAUUAAAGUUGCAAUAUUUAUUUACAAAUAUAUUUUUGUAUAUAUUCUAUAAUAUCUUGGAUACUUCACAGAAAUUCUCAUAAGUGGGAAAUUUAAAACUAUACCCUUGCAUCUAGAGAGAUAAAUUUUGGAUAUAUAACCAAGAAUAUACUUGUAAUUAGAAAAUGCUCUCAUGACCUCAUUGUGGAUUUAACAUGUUCACUUCCAAAUUUUUAAUUCAAGUUUUCAUUUGGCAACAUGAGAUGUAAAAAUAUUUUGAACAUUUUAAACUAAAUAGAUGUAAAAGACAUUUUAGACAUUUAAAAUAUAUGUACUUUAACUAAUAAUUGAAUUUGAAAUGUAUUUAUGAAAGUUGAUUUUCCAUAUACAUAAAUAUGUGCCUAUAUGUAAAUGUUAAACUUUCUAUUUUAUAUACAUAAAAUUCAAUAUACUGCUAUUUGAUUUUUUUUUUUUUGCUUUUUUUGACAAUUAACAAUUGUGUAUAUUUAAGGUGUACAAUUUGAUGAUUUGAUAUACAUAUGUAUAGUGCAUCAUUACCACAUUCAAGCGAAUUAACAUAUCCAUCCCUUAGCUACUUACCAUUUUCUUGUG